rnacentral:rRNA from 1 species
GAUGAACGCUAGCUACAGGCUUAACACAUGCAAGUCGAGGGGAAACGACAUCGAAAGCUUGCUUUUGGUGGGCGUCGACCGGCGCACGGGUGAGUAACGCGUAUCCAACCUGCCCACCACUUGGGGAUAACCUUGCGAAAGUAAGACUAAUACCCAAUGAUAUCCCACGAAGGCAUCCGAAUGGGAUUAAAGAUUUAUCGGUGAUGGAUGGGGAUGCGUCUGAUUAGCUUGUUGGCGGGGUAACGGCCCACCAAGGCAACGAUCAGUAGGGGUUCUGAGAGGAAGGUCCCCCACAUUGGAACUGAGACACGGUCCAAAACUCCUACGGGAGGCAGCAGUGAGGAAUAUUGGGCAAUGGGGGAAACCCUGACCCAGCAACGCCGCGUGAAGGAAGAAGGCUUUCGGGUUGUAAACUUCUUUUACCAGGGACGAAGAAAGUGACGGUACCUGGAGAAAAAGCCACGGGCUAAACUACGUG